rnacentral:rRNA from 1 species
GACGAACGCUGGCGGCGUGCUUAACACAUGCAAGUCGAACGGUAAGGCCCUUCGGGUACGACGAGUGGCGAACGGGUGAGUAACACGUGGGUGAUCUGCCCUGCACUUCGGGAUAAGCUUGGGAAACUGGGUCUAAUACCGGAUAGGACCACGGUCUGCAUGGAUUGUGGUGGAAAGCUUUUGCGGUGUGGGAUGGGCCCGCGGCCUAUCAGCUUGUUGGUGGGGUGAUGGCCUACCAAGGCGACGACGGGUAGCCGGCCUGAGAGGGUGUCCGGCCACACUGGGACUGAGAUACGGCCCAGACUCCUACGGGAGGCAGCAGUGGGGAAUAUUGCACAAUGGGCGCAAGCCUGAUGCAGCGACGCCG